AUGAUCACAUCACGUUGAAACACCGCUUUCCGUACGAUCACUGAAGUUAAGCAACGUCGAGCUUGGUCAGUACCUAGAUGGUUGACCACUUGGAAAUAUCAGGUGUUGUAG